CAGUCGCCGGGUAAUACAGAGGGUGCGAGCGUUAAUCGGAUUUACUGGGCGUAAAGCGUGCGUAGGCGGCUUUUUAAGUCGGAUGUGAAAUCCCUGAGCUUAACUUAGGAAUUGCAUUCGAUACUGGGAAGCUAGAGUAUGGGAGAGGAUGGUAGAAUUCCAGGUGUAGCGGUGAAAUGCGUAGAGAUCUGGAGGAAUACCGAUGGCGAAGGCAGCCAUCUGGCCUAAUACUGACGCUGAGGUACGAAAGCAUGGGGAGCAAACAGGAUUAGAUACCCCCGUAGUCCCUGUCUCUUAUACA
rnacentral:rRNA from 1 species